rnacentral:SRP_RNA from 1 species
GCCAGGCAUGUUGGCACAUGCCUGUAAUCCCAGCUACUCGGGAGGCUGAGGCAGGAGAAUUGCUUGAACCCAGGAGGCAGAGGUUGCAGUGAGCUGACAUCGCGCCACUGCACUCCACCCUGGGCAACAGAGCAAGACUCUGUCUCAA